GGCAGGUUGCUCUCCCGCGGCGGUGAAGCGAAGGACUGACACCGGCCGUGAGGGGGAAUUAAAGGGAAAACCGGUUUCCUGCCGUUUCGCGGCCUACCUGCCGGCCGCGGGCGGCCAUGGCGGGCGGCGCUUUCCGCUCCAGCCGCUCCCUUACGGGCCCCUGACAAAGGGAAGCGAGGGUUUGUUUGGCUGCAGACCUCUCACAGCACCAGGUAGCCUCUUGUUCCUGGCACCUGCUCUUCGCCCUCCCUCGCCCACGUUUACUUUAGCUCAAGGAGAGGGAAAGUUUACUUUUCCAGUUGCGACCACUUGCUUCGGAGGCUUGUGCCUGGCUCCCUUCCCUAGCGCUAGGAGACACGGUUAUUUUUCAUAUUUCUGGCAUCAGUUUAUCACCCGGCUACGGUUUGACUUUUUCAGUCAGCUUUAAUUACACACAGCUGUCAACAACUGGCAAAACAAAUGGAAAAAACCUGCCAAAACAACCACCACCAUACAAAAAAACUAACUGCGUGUGGGAUAUUUAACUCUUCCACAGGUGUUUGGAAGAAUCUAGAAAGAGCAGCUAAAAUGUGAGUGACCAUGUUAGUAAGUUAAUUUCUGUACCUCGGGUGUAGUUGCUUUUUUCUUUUUUAAAGAGGCAGGAGAAGAGCCGGGCUGCACCAUCAGCAAGUUCAUAGAUUACGCCGCCACAGUGGCCGAUACCCCCGGGGGUCGCGCUGCCAUCCAGAGGGGCUCCAGCAGGCAGGAGAGUUGGUUUAACAGGAACCCGAUGAAGUUGAGUGACGCAGCUGGCCCUGGCACCGGGCUCUGGCCCGUCCUGCUUGGGCAGGAGAAGCUGGUCUCUUCCCACCUGGACACUUCGUGGUUCUGAGCACAGACCUCUGCAUUCCAGAGCAGGGGAGGUGUCCUGGUUUCAGCUGGGAUAGAGUUAAUUUUCUUCUUAGAAGCUGGUGCAGGGCUGUGUUUUGGCUCUGAUGCGAGAGCAGUUACACCGAUGGUUUUGGUUGUUACCAGAUGCUGAUGCUCACGGACAGAUGAUGACUGCAUGCCCACACAGACUGACAGUUCAGACAUUAAAAAAAGCCGUUAACCACAGAUACCACAAUGAGCAAACACAACCUGGAGCGAGCAGGCGCCUUGCUGCUGAGUUCAUACAUGGGGCUACGAUGUCUUAGUUUUCUCUUAAACGUCUCAUCUGUCAAACUCGUCUUCAGUUUCAAGUAUAUUGCAGUACAUUCACACUGAGGCAGCACUGAACAGUUUAACAUGUUCUUUCAAAUCUGUGAAGCUUCUAUUUUCAUACAAAAUUGCUGUGGGAGCAGGCUGUAGAUCAGAUUCUUAUGCCACUUAAUAAAAAAGAAGAAAUAAUGACACUUA